rnacentral:rRNA from 1 species
GGGAAUCUGCCCUUGGGUUCGGAAUAACAGUGAGAAAUUACUGCUAAUACCGGAUGAUGUCUUCGGACCAAAGAUUUAUCGCCCAGGGAUGAGCCCGCGUAGGAUUAGGUAGUUGGUGGGGUAAUGGCCUACCCAGCCGACGAUCCUUAGCUGGUCUGAGAGGAUGAUCAGCCACACUGGGACUGAGACACGGCCCAGACUCCUACGGGAGGCAGCAGUGGGGAAUAUUGGACAAUGGGCGAAAGCCUGAUCCAGCAAUGCCGCGUGAGUGAUGAAGGCCUUAGGGUUGUAAAGCUCUUUUACCCGGGAUGAUAAUGACAGUACCGGGAGAAUAAGCUCCGGCUAACUCCGUGCCAGCAGCCGCGGUAAUACGGAGGGAGCUAGCGUUGUUCGGAAUUACUGGGCGUAAAGCGCGCGUAGGCGGCUGCUCAAGUCAGAGGUGAAAGCCCGGGGCUCAACCCCGGAACUGCCUUUGAAACUAGGUAGCUAGAAUCUUGGAGAGGUCAGUGGAAUUCCGAGU